rnacentral:rRNA from 1 species
UACGAAGGGGCUAGCGUUGUUCGGAUUUACUGGGCGUAAAGCGCACGUAGGCGGAUCGUUAAGUCGGGGGUGAAAUCCUGGAGCUCAACUCCAGAACUGCCUUCGAUACUGGCGAUCUUGAGUCCGGAAGAGGUGAGUGGAACUCCUAGUGUAGAGGUGGAAUUCGUAGAUAUUAGGAAGAACACCAGUGGCGAAGGCGGCUGACUGGACAUGUAUUGACGCUGAGGUGCGAAAGCGUGGGGAGCAAACAGG